rnacentral:rRNA from 1 species
GAUGAACGCUGGCGGCGUGCCUAAUACAUGCAAGUAGAACGCUGAAGCUUGGUGCUUGCACCGAGCGGAUGAGUUGCGAACGGGUGAGUAACGCGUAGGUAACCUGCCUCUUAGCGGGGGAUAACUAUUGGAAACGAUAGCUAAUACCGCAUAAAAGUCGAUAUCGCAUGAUGUUGAUUUGAAAGGUGCAAUUGCAUCACUAAGAGAUGGACCUGCGUUGUAUUAGCUAGUUGGUGAGGUAACGGCUCACCAAGGCGACGAUACAUAGCCGACCUGAGAGGGUGAUCGGCCACACUGGGACUGAGACACGGCCCAGACUCCUACGGGAGGCAGCAGUAGGGAAUCUUCGGCAAUGGGGGCAACCCUGACCGAGCAACGCCGCGUGAGUGAAGAAGGUUUUCGGAUCGUAAAGCUCUGUUGUAAGAGAAGAACGAGUGUGAGAGUGGAAAGUUCACACUGUGACGG